rnacentral:rRNA from 1 species
GCCCUAGAUAAUAUCUAAGGUGUAACCUGCCCAGUGGUUUUAAUUAUUAGAAUAAAAUUCUAUAAACAAGACUAAAAGGACGCGGUAACCUUGACCGUGAUAAUGUAGCAUAAUCACUCGCCAUUUAAUUGGUGGAUAGUAUGAAUGGUUGAACGAAUAUCUCACUGUCUUAGAAAGAAAUAGAAGAAAUUGAAAUAAUAGUUAAGAUGCUAUUUUAAACUGUAAGACGAAAAGACCCUAUAGAGCUUAACUAUAAUCUCUUUACUAAAAAGAAAAAUUAAUUUAAUAAAUAAAGAGAUUGGUAGUUUAGUUGGGGCGACUAUCUUUUAGAAACAACAAAGAUAAGCAACGUUAAUAAGUAACUUAUUGUACAACUUAAAAGUUUAACAAUUAUAAAAAUAGGCUGUAUUGACCCGUUCUCAUCUAAAAAAAGAAAGAACGAUCAAUUGACAAAAGCUACCUUAGGGAUAACAGGAUAAUUUCAUUUUAGAGCUCCUAUCGAAAAUGAAGUUUGUCACCUCUAUGUUGAAUUAAGAUAUCCUGAUAAUGCAGCAGUUAUCAAAGGUAGGUCUGUUCGACCUUUAAAAUCUU